rnacentral:rRNA from 1 species
AGCGAACGCUAGCGGCGGGCUUAACACAUGCAAGUCGAGCGGAGAGCUUCGGCUCUCAGCGGCGAACGGGUGAGUAACACGUAGGUCACGUACCCUUUGAUGGGGAAUAACCUAGGGAAACCUGGGCUAAUACCGCAUAUGUCCUUCGGGAUGAAAGCCUUCGGGCGUCAGAGGAUCGGCCUGCGGCCCAUUAUUUAAUCCUAGUUGGUAGGGUAAUGGCCUACCAAGGGUACGAUGGGUAGCUGGUCUGAGAGGAUGAUCAGCCACACUGGAACUGAGACACGGUUCAGACUCCUACGGGAGGCAGCAGUGGGGAAUAUUGGACAAUGGGCGAAAGCCUGAUCCAGCCACGCCGCGUGGGUGAUGAAGGCCUUCGGGUUGUAAAGCCCUGUCGGGAGGGACGAAUCAAUGACGGUACCUCCCAAGAAAGCACCGGCUAACUCCGUGCCAGCAGCCGCCGGUAAAGUCACAUGUG